AAAGCCCCGAAAGGGGUAAGUAGAGUGGCAAACGGGUGAGUAACACGUGGGUGACCUGCCUUAGAGUGGGGGAUAACGUCCCGAAAGGGACGCUAAUACCGCAUAACAUCCUGCCUUUGAAGAGGUGGAGAUCAAAGCCGGGGACCGCAAGGCCUGGCGCUCAAAGAGGGGCCCGCGCCUGAUUAGCUAGUUGGUGAGGUAAUGGCUCACCAAGGCAACGAUCAGUAUCCGGCCUGAGAGGGCGGACGGACACACUGGGACUGAGACACGGCCCAGACUCCUACGGGAGGCAGCAGUGGGGAAUUGUUCGCAAUGGGCGCAAGCCUGACGACGCAACGCCGCGUGGAGGAUGAAGACCUUCGGGUCGUAAACUCCUUUCGAUCGAGACGAAUAGCCAUCGGGUGAACAAUCCGGAGGUUUGACGGUACCGAGAGAAGAAGCCCCGGCUAACUCCGUGCCAGCAGCCGCGGUAAUACGGGGGGGGCAAGCGUUGUUCGGAAUUACUGGGCGUAAAGGGCUCGUAGGUUGCCAACUAAGUCAGACGUGAAAUCCCUCGGCUUAACCGGGGAACUGCGUCUGAUACUGGAUGGCUUGAGUUCGGGAGAGGGAUGCGGAAUUCCAGGUGUAGCGGUGAAAUGCGUAGAUAUCUGGAGGAACACCGGUGGCGAAGGCGGCAUCCUGGACCGACACUGACACUGAGGAGCGAAAGCCAGGGGAGCAAACGGGAUUAGAUACCCCGGUAGUCCUGGCCCUAAACGAUGAAUGCUUGGUGUGGCGGGUAUCGAUCCCUGCCGUGCCGAAGCUAACGCA
rnacentral:rRNA from 1 species